rnacentral:rRNA from 1 species
UACAUGUGGGGCAAGCGUUGUUCGGAAUUACUGGGCAUAAAGGGUGCGUAGGCGGCUUGUUAAGUCAGGGGUGAAAGUUUUCGGCCCAACCGGAAAAUUGCCUUUGAUACUGGCGAGCUCGAGUGCGUGAGGGGUAACCGGAACGAGCAGUGUAGCGGUGAAAUGCAUAGAUAUGUCACAGAACACCAAUUGCGAAGGCAGCUUACUAUGGUAUUAUUGACGCUGAGGCACGAAAGCGUGGGGAUCAAACAGG